UUUGUUUUACCCACUGUACAAAAAUCAAUGAUUUUGGCGUAUCACAGACAAUAAGGCAUAGAGCUAGGUCAGCUGACUUAAUUUUUAUCAUUGGUCUUGUGAUAAGUUGUGAUAUUCCGCCAUUCUCGGUUCGUCUCAUCCAUCUUUCUCGUCUCAACAGGACACACAGAUAGUACAAAAUGGCGAGCAAAGGCGGUUUGAAGACGAUCGCCAAUGAGGA